GGGGAAUAUUGGACAAUGGGGGCAACCCUGAUCCAGCAAUGCCGCGUGUGUGAAGAAGGCCUUCGGGUUGUAAAGCACUUUUAUCGGGAACGAAACAUUGUCGGCCAAUACCCGGCAAGACUGACGGUACCCGAGGAAUAAGCACCGGCUAACUCCGUGCCAGCAGCCGCGGUAAUACGGAGGGUGCAAGCGUUAAUCGGAAUUACUGGGCGUAAAGCGUGCGCAGGCGGUUUGUUAAGUCUGCUGUGAAAUCCCCGAGCUCAACUUGGGGAUUGCAGUGGAUACUGGCAAGCUGGAGUACGGUAGAGGAAGGUGGAAUUCCCGGUGUAGCAGUGAAAUGCGUAGAGAUCAGGAGGAACACCAGUGGCGAAGGCGGCCUUCUGGACCAGUACUGACGCUCAUGCACGAAAGCGUGGGGAGCAAACA
rnacentral:rRNA from 1 species